GGAAAAGCUGACUCGUUUUAUGAAAAGACUGCAAAGACUGUGCAGUGACGCCCUCCCGACCCCAGGACUCUGGAGCCUUUGGAGCAGAAAGAUCCCAGGAGCUGAGGGUGAAUCCAGGAGUGAGUAGCUGGCAGGAAGGAGUCCUAGCAGUUCUUCUGGGAACACAGGUGAGGAAUGACUCCCCCUUCCCUAGAUUCUCCCCAUGGGAACAGGGAGGGUUGUGUGAUAAAUUCCUGUAACUCUUCUGCCCCUCUGAGUUGGCAGAAACAAGG